rnacentral:rRNA from 1 species
UGGGGAAUAUUGCACAAUGGAGGAAACUCUGAUGCAGCGACGCCGCGUGAGUGAAGAAGGUCUUCGGAUCGUAAAACUCUGUCCUUGGUGAAGAAAGAAAUGACGGUAGCCAAGGAGGAAGCCCCGGCUAACUACGUGCCAGCAGCCGCGGUAAUACGUAGGGGGCGAGCGUUGUCCGGAUUUACUGGGCGUAAAGGGUGAGUAGGCGGUGAUAUGUGUCAGAUGUAAAAGGCUAUGGCUUAACUAUAGUUAGCAUUUGAAACUGUAUUACUUGAGUGCAGGGGAGGUAAGUGGAAUUCCUAGUGUAGCGGUGAAAUGCGUAGAUAUUAGGAGGAACACCAGUGGCGAAGGCGACUUACUGGACUGUAACUGACGCUGAGUCACGAAAGCGUGGGUAGCAAACA